rnacentral:lncRNA from 1 species
GCGUGACCAUUCUCCUAGGGGUAAAUAAACAAUCAAAACACCAGCACUCCAGACACGUACAGCAGAAAUGAGCCAAUUCACAAAACUCUUCUUGUAUGAAAAGUGUAUUUAUUUAUUUUAAAGAGAUCAGUUAGACGGGUGGAAGACCGUUGAUAUUUUAAAUCAAAGCCUGUGUGCUUAGGUAUUUGUUAACAUUCAGAUAACGGCACUCAAUCUAGGACCCGCUAAGUCAGAAGUUUUGGGCGUGGAGCCCAGGAACCCAUACUUUAAACUGUGAUAGACCGCAGGAAGAACAGCCUCGCCGAGUAGCGCAGCACAGGUUUCUACCCGUCUUAAGAAAGUUGGGCAAUUGCAAAGAAAUACGCAAAAAUUCUCCUGUUCAGUGGCAUGGACGUGAUUUAGAACACUUGCAGCUUUUUCAGAGCUUGAUUUCGACAUCCUGUAUCCAUCUUCCCUUCUUUCCAUGUGUGUGUUUGGAAACGCCGUGAGAAAUAGGUGACCUUAUGCAUGCAAGAACACAGACUGAGAGAUAUUUUUCAAGGAUGCAAGCAUUGGAGGCAAUCCUGGGGAACACGCAUCUCACGAGAACGUGGCUGGGGCAAACCUGAUGGGCCGGGGGGUGGCAUUAUUCAUCCUUUAAACAGCAGUGUGAGGUCGGCUUUCCCAGGGACUCAAUCUGAAGGAAACUCGAAAGUGGGAAGUUGUGACAACGAAGUACCUGCAGAUCUCAUAUAAGUGAAUCACAGAGCCAACAGGGUGAAGUCACAGAGGCGCCAGGGUGAGGAGACAGGAGGAGGGGCUGGACGUGGACCUCCGUGGACGGUGAGGACCACGUUACGAGCUG